rnacentral:rRNA from 1 species
UACGUAGGGUGCAAGCGUUAAUCGGAAUUACUGGGCGUAAAGCGUGCGCAGGCGGUUCCGCAAGUCAGAUGUGAAAUCCCCGGGCUCAACCUGGGAACUGCAUUUGAAACUACGGGGCUAGAGUGUGUCAGAGGGGGGUGGGAAUUCCACGUGUAGCAGUGAAAUGCGUAGAGAUGUGGAGGAACACCAAUGGCGAAGGCAGCCCCCUGGGAUGACACUGACGCUCAUGCACGAAAAGCGUGGGGAGCAAACAGG